UAUGAUAAAACUUUAAAAUUCCACAUGGGGUCUAUCAAACAAUAUUUUAUUUCAAGAAACUGAAACGCUUAAUUCAGAUUUUGACUGGUUUCAUUUUAGAUUGUUAUGAUAUAGAAAAGAAAUAGUUGAAACAGAAGAGUAUUAACAGGGGAAAUGAAAAUAAUCUCAUUUCCUGUGCUCCAAUAUAACACAUUAAUAAACUAUUGUAAGGGUUUUUUUUUCUGUUUGCUUGUGGGGGUUUUUGUGUUGUUUUUUUUUUAAGUUUCUAAUGGCUGCUUCAGCGCAGAUAAUGUACUUCUGGGUCUGGUGGAUCUGUGUUUUCUGGAAAGUGAAUUUUCAAAUAAUCAUUACUAUUUUCCUUAUCUGCAAGGUCACAAGUGGUGUUUUCUACCCUUGUCAAAACAGGGUCAUCACGUCAGUGUAACGUAGAUGAAUGUCAAAUGAGGGUUCUUACUUACUGGAGGACCGGGUGGACCAGGCAACCCGCUGUCACCCUUUUGACCAGCAGGACCCUACAAAGCAAUGAAAGAAAUGCCGUGUUGACCAUGCUACACAAUGUUAAAAACCAACAUGCACAAAAGUUAAGUACAAGAACAAAAACUGGAGGAAAAUUACUCACGCUGGAUCCUUUGGAACCUUUCGGACCUUGGGGACCCUACGGGCAAGAACAUGUAACUAUAGUUGGGAGUGUAUUCCACACAACACGGAGUGUUUUGAACAGAAGGACUAGAUGAAAUUACUUACAGGUAACCCAGGAGGACCAGGGGGACCGAGUGGGCCAGCGGGACCAGAAAUUCCCUAAGAAAGAAUAAGAGAGAUCUCAGCUGUGGCUUAAGACUUCACGAUGACUAUUAAGGCUACGGAGAGCUGAUCGACAGACGUGGUGGUUCCAACGUAAGCUGAUGCUUAGAGAAUCUGUUGGAAAACUCCACUGCAGCCUGGCUACCUGGGAAACUACUGCGAGAGAGAAACACGUUCGCGUGGA